rnacentral:rRNA from 1 species
AUGGUACAGAUACUAUCUCUCAUCCACAGCAAAAAAGGGACUCUGAGUAGCAUGCCGUACAUACCAGCUGACGUCACAAACCUACAGGCCAAGUACCGUAGAGAGAGUAAGUUGGCAGACAUAGAGGCCACAAUAGCCUACUUCGAUGCGAAAGCAAAGGAAGAUCCAGAUUUCUUCUACAGGAUAAGGUUGGACGAUGAGGACCGUGUCAGGAACAUGUAUUGGGUGGAUGGUGCUGCAAGGAGAGCCUACAAACAUUUCCGAGAUUGCAUUUCAUUCGACGCGACAUACCUCACCAAUAUGUACAAGAUGCCAUGCGCUCCGUUCAUAGGAAUAAAUAAC